GCACUGUUGAAGAGUCCCAUACUAGGACGAAACGGCCGUCCUGCGC
rnacentral:hammerhead_ribozyme from 1 species